UACAGAGGGGGCAAGCGUUAUUCGGAAUUAUUGGGCGUAAAGGGCGCGUAGGCGGCGAUUCAAGUGACGGGUGAAAUCCCUCGGCUUAACCGAGGAACUGCCUGUCAGACUGGAUUGCUUGAGUCCGGGAGAGGCGAGUGGAAUUCCCAGUGUAGCGGUGAAAUGCGUAGAUAUUGGGAGGAACACCAGUGGCGAAGGCGGCUCGCUGGACCGGAACUGACGCUGAGGAGCGAAAGCCAGGGGAGCAAACGGG
rnacentral:rRNA from 1 species